CAGUGUUCAUGCUGGGUCAUUGUGUAUCAGGCCAGGCCGGCCCAAGGAUUGUUUGAUUCCUUAAAGAAGUGUAUUAUUCCGGCCUUGAUAUAAUGACUUUAAAAAUAGAUUUAUUCUAUUCAUAAUUCAUUCAAGAAGAGAUGGUGCCUGAGUUCCACGAAUGUGAAAAUUGGACCAUGGUAUUGCUGCCACCUUGUGGGAGAGUGAAAGAACUUCAAGAGACUGUUCUCUCCCCAGACUCCUUAGCACCCUCUGAUUCCAGCAUUCGUGCAUUUGUGCAUCCUUUCAUCCAGCAUUUACUCUGUGCUAGGCCCUGGCUAGACCCUGGGGACAUAAGAAAGUAAGACACAAUUUGUAUCCUCAAGGUAUGCAGAAUGCAGAUGUCCAGACACAAUGUGUUGUUACAAUAUUGUCCCGGGGAGAGCGCCCUUCUUGGGGGUGGGAUAAUGGAGGUACCCAAAAGACUUUCCCAAAGAGGCAUAAUCCAAAGAUUCAUAGAGAGUCAGACUGACUCCAUUCUGUGGUUUUCUGUUGUGAAAAUAAUUUCCUAGGUGGGAUUUUUCUGCCCAUUGCUGCUCAUUUCUUCCCAACAGUGCAAAAGGAGAUGAGGGAAGAUACAAUGCCGACCAGUAGCAGAAUCUCAGAGACCACAUGGAAUAUCUUUUUGCCUCUCUAGAUACAUUCUCCAACCACCUUCAUUCUCUGUUCCCCAGAGGGCUGCCCAGUGUGGGCUGCCUCUGUUCUUCUCUUGCACACUGACUUCCAG
rnacentral:lncRNA from 1 species